GGCAAGGCGCACCGGGGCGAGCCGGGAGCCCUGCGCGCUUCCCUAACGCUGUCGCUGUCGCUUCUUCGUGGCUGUCGGGGUGUAGGGGUCAGUCUGCUGUCCACAGCCUGUGCCUUCCUGACAAGGAAACGCUGCUGCGGGGAGGGAUGAGCAGUAGAUGCUUCAGGAGAGGAGUUGAAGAGCCUGGGGUGGGGAUGCAGGGCCUGCGCCGCUGCAGGGAUGGAGGGGUGAAAAAGUGUCAGCUGGAUCGGGCGUGCUGACAGAAUGGAGAGGAGUCCCCUAAAAAAAAGAAUAGUGACUGCGGUCACUUUAUAGGACAUGAUAACUGACUUUUUAAUAAAGGUUGCUUUGCAUUUUCUCCCUA